UCCCUUGCAGCUCAGUUGGUAAAGAAUCUGCCUGCAAUGCAGGAGACCCAGGUUUGAUUCCUGGGUUGGGAA
rnacentral:tRNA from 1 species